GAGGGUGUACAGAGAAGGUUCACCAGACUGAUUCCUGGGAUGUCAGGACUUUCAUAUGAAGAACGACUGGAUAGACUUGGCUUAUACUCGCUAGAAUUUAGAAGAUUGAGGGAGGAUCUUAUAGAAACUUACAAAAUUCUUAAGGGCUUGGACAGGCUAGAUGCAGGAAGAUUGUUCCUGAUGUUGGGGAAGUCCAGAACAAGGGGUCACAGUUUAAGGAUAAGGAGGAAAUCUUUUAGGACCCAGAUGAGAAAAACAUUUUUCACACAGAGAGUGGUGAAUCUGUGGAAUUCUCUGCCACAGAAGGUAGUUGAGGCCAGUUCAUUGGCUAUAUUUAAGAGGGAGUUAGAUGUGGCCUUUGUGGCUAAAGGGAUCAGGGGGUAUGGAGAGAAGGCAGGUACAGGAUACUGAGUGGAUGAUCAGCCAUGAUCAUAUUGAAUGGUGGUGCAGGCUCAAAGGGCCGAAUGGCCUACUCCUGCUCCUAUUUUCUAUGUUUCUAUCAUCCUUACUUUUUUGCAUAUCUUUUACUCAUUGUUCUUAAUCUCUAAACAUCAGCAUCUAUAUCUCUUGUUUCCCUUAUCCCUAACCUGUCUGAAGAUGGGUCUUGACCCGAAACGUCACUCAUUCCUUCCUUCCAGAGAGGCUGCCUCUCCUGCCGAGUUACUCCAGCUUUUUGUCUAUUUUCUUGUUGCAUGUAGAUACAGAUUGGUCAAUUUUCUGAGGAGUUGCAAAUGGAAUUGAAUUUUAUGAGGCACAAGAGAUGUUGGAAUCUAGCGAAAUAAAGGAGAGCAACUGGAGCAAUUCGGUAGGUUAGUCGAUGACCAGAAAGGUCCUUUGUUAUUUGGAGCAUUGAAACUAUUGUCUUUGAUCCCGCCACAACCAUCCCAUUCCUGAUGUCUGUGGCUGAAGAAGUGUUCAACCUUGAUACCCAUUUUGACCCCAUGCUGAGCAUCCCACCCAACAGCACCUCCAUGGCCAGAACCGCCUAAUUCACACCUCUAAUAUCACCCAUUAAACCCUGUCCAAACACAGGAUGUCCAUUAUAAAGGAUGAGGUUCUGGAGUACUUGGAAGUUCAUGAUAAAAUAGGCCGAAGACAGCAUGGGUUUGUGAAGGGGUGAUCUUGCCUGACAAAUCUGUUCGGAUUCUUUGAGGAUGUAAAUAGCUAGACAGACAAAGGAGAGUCAGUGGAUGUUGUUUACCUAGAUUUUCAGAAAUCCUUUGAUAAAGUGCCGCACUUGAGGUUGCUAAAGAAGAUGAGCCCAUGGUAUCAAAGGGAAGAUACUGACAUGGAUAGCAGGUUGGCUGGAUGGCAGAAGGCAUAGAGUGGCAAUAAAGGCGGCAUUUUCUGGUUGGUUGUCAGCGUCUAGCAGAGGUCGGUGCUGGGGUUUUGGAUGAGCAGUCUGUAGACUUUGGGGCCAAGUUUGCAGAUUAUACAAAGAUAGGUGGAGGAACAGGUAAUGUAGAGAACUCUGCAGAAGUGCUUGGACAGGUUGGGAGAGUGGGCAGAGAAGUGGCAGAUGGAAUACAGCGUAGCAAAGUGUGGGAUCAUGCAUUUGGUAGUAGGAAUAAAGGCGUAGACCAUUUUCUAAAUGGGGAGAGAAUCCAGAAAUUAGAGGUGCAAAGGGACUUGGGAGUGCUGGUUCAGGAUUCCCAAAAAGUUAAUUUGUAAGUCAAAUCAGUAGUAAGGAAGGCAAACGUAAUUUCCAUUUAUUUCCAAGAGGUCAAGAAUACAAAAACAGGGAUGUAAUGCUGAGGCUCUAUAAGGCGCUGGUCAGACCACAUUUAGAGUAUUAUGAGCAAUGUUGGGCCUCAUAUCUGAUGUGCUGGCGCUGGAGAGGGUCCAGAGGGGCUUUACGAGAAUGAUCCCAGGAGUUUUGUGGAAUGAGGGGGGACCUCAUUGAAACCUACCGAAUAGUGAAAAGCCUGGAUAUGGUGGAUGUGGAGUGGAUAUUUCUACUAGUGGGAGAGAUUAUAACUUCAGAAUUAUAGGACGUUCCUUUCGCUAGGAGAUGAGGAGGAAUUUCUUUAGUCAGAGGGUGGUGAAACUAUGGAAUUCAUUGCCACAGAAUGGUGUGGAGGUUAAGCCAAUGGAUAUUUUUAUGGCAGAAAUGGAUAGAUUCUUGGAUUUGUAAUGGUGUCAAGGGAUAUGGGAGGAAGGCAGGAGAAUGGGGUUGAGAGAUAGAUCAGCCAUGAUUGAAUAGAAAACAUAGAAACAUAGAAAUUAGGUGCAGGAGUAGGCCAUUCGGCCCUUCGAGCCUGCACCGCCAUUCAAUAUGAUCAUGGCUGAUCAUAAUAUGAUCAUGGCUGAUCAUAAUAUGAUCAUGGCUGAUCAUGAAUGGCAGAGCAGGCUUGAUCAGGUCGAAUGGCCUGAUUCUGCUGCAAUCACGUGAACAUCUACAACCAAAACCCUUAUCUGUGCUUAUUUUAAUGAAGUUGCUGCUGUCCUGUGCAACAACACUGAUACCAAGACAAUACGAGUUAGCUCAUUAUUAAUUAUUACCAUCUGGAAAGAUGGAUCAACAUCAGGAUCAGGUAGCUAUUCAACUUGCAUUUCAAUAACAAAUAUUUCAACACAGGGACAUGCACCAUAUUCCUUCGAGAAGGAACAGAUGGCAUUAAUAAAACAAUCUAACUAGGUAGGUAAAGCUUAUCGGAAGAGACACAUGGAAACAUAAUAUUAUUAAUCCCACAAUUAGUUCUGAGCAAUGGUAUUAAAUAUACUCAACAUCCUUACCACAUCAGCAAUUUAUCAAAAAUAGUUGUCAAAUAGAAAUGAAAAUGAACAGCUAAUAGAGUUUGCUGUUAAAAUUCAAGCCAUAUGCAAGUUUUCAAGGGAACAUUUCAAUUAUUCUGAUUUCUAGCUAAUUAUAUGGGAGAAAAUAGAGGAAAGAAAAUUGCAGAAAGCUGCACUGAGCAUAUUUUACGAGCCCUGUCCUGACCUGGGACAAAGGUAGUGGCAGCGACUCCAAACAUCUGUAUAUUUUGGUACUCCGUCUCAAUAAAUGAGUUGUUUCUGCAUAAUAUCUUAUGUACGUAGAAAAUCCAGUCCAAAGGAUAAAACCCUAAUACUUAGAAUGUCCUCACCUCAGUAGUUUGUUCAUUCCUUUCCAUAUUUUAACAAUAUCUGGGGAUAUUUCUGUUCUUCUCCAAAAUCUUAGAGACAUUAGUUAACGAAAUUAUUAACUGGGUAAAGUGUGUUAUCUUCAUACGAAUGUUUGUGAAGAUCCCUGCUGUUCAAUUGGUGUGAUGCUAGACCACUGUAAUUCCAACAGUUGACGGAACUACAUCAAAUGUCAUUAAACUGAUCACAUUUUAAGUUCCAUUGUCAUUGCUCAAGUUCUACUGUCAUUGCUCUUCUGCAAUAAAAUUCCAUUUAAAAAAGGCAAAUAAUUCUGACAUUCAAAAGAUUGAAAUAUAGUUAAAGCAUAUAAGUACAGUCAAGAAAAAAGUCUUCAUAAACAAUAGAAAGGCACUUUUACCCACGAUUCUAAGUAUUACAAAUCUGCAUCUCCUGGCAACGGGUUGUUACCACGGCAACAUCACAAUCAAAUUAAAGCAAGAACACGUGGUGCGUAUUAUGGUUAAAAUCGUAGCAAUGUACAUGGCAAGUUCAAUUAAGAAAAACAGAUUUCAGCAAUGUUUGGAGGAACAAGUCUUUGAUAUGUACUGAAUCAUGGAAUUUAUGUCUCCAAAACAAUUGACACGAAGGAAUGACGUUAGCGACUUGGUGCGAACGAAAGAUUUCAACUUUCUUUCUCAAGAAAGGAGGCCAGCACUGAACACUGCUGCAGACUAGUCAGAGAAAGAUUUUGCAGUAAACAGAUGUAGAAUUAUUUGCAACAAACAUUUAUGCUUACAUUUUGAAUGGAGAGAUUGCCAGAUUAUCCUUUGUGGUGUCAAAUGUUUUCAUGUAAAGAUGUAAACAAUUCAUAUUUCACAUCUUUAGAAAUAUUACUAAUGAUCUUAUUUUUUGACAUUGGGUCUGCCUUCCAUCUUAUCAUAAACAUUAAAAAGAACUGUCAUGUGCCUACGACCCUCAAUCAGUCACAGAUUUGUGUAUUCAUGAGGUCUGCUUGAGCACGAUCUCUGAUGUUUUUGACCAAAGAUACAAAUAUAUACUAGCUAUUUAAUGAAUCAAUAUGAUUUGUUUCCAGAUCACUUCGCUGAAGGGGCUGCGGUCUUUGUAUACACAGCUGAACAUUGCGAUUUCAAAACAACAGUGGUUGUAGAGCAUUCACAGGAUAGAUAUAGUUUCGUCGCCAGUAUUUGAAUAUUUUCAUAUGUUUACUACGGACAUGAAACCUUUUUAAUAUUUGAGAGUAAAGGAAUGAGUGGCGUUUCGAGUCGAGACCUUUCUUAUGCAGAGGGAGUUACCGGGUUACAAAGAUCUCACUCUAUGCAAUUUUGAUAUUUGUAGGAAGUUAACAAGUGAGCCGCCAGAUUCUCACAAUGGGGUUUUUACCAAUACUCGAUACAAAUGGCAGUAAGUUUCCCUUACCCUUUCGCCCCAUCUACUGCUGGAUAUAAAGUAGAAAAUCUUUUCAAAUCCUACUUACAGUUCCCUACUUAGAGCAGGUUAACACCAUAAUCACCAUUUCAAUGUGUAGCCUGUGAGCAACACUAAUUGCUGGCAAUGAGAUUAAACUCAGGAACAAUUGUGAACAAAUUGAG